CGGCGCCGCCACCGACGUCGGACAAGCAAGAGAGAUACGAACGGAUAAGCACUCUCUCGCUCCCUCGACACCGGACUCAAGGAUCACCUCUUCGCUCCGCCUACGAAGGGCAAAAGAUUACCCCUGGUAUCAGUAGGAUAAAAUACUUGAGCACCGCAACGGAUUAUCAAAGAUCAAAGGAAGAAGAAGGAAGAAAAUAGCAAAGCAAA
rnacentral:lncRNA from 1 species